UGCUGCCUGGACCUGGUGAGACAAAGAUGCAGCCAGCUUCACUUCUGUUGGGCUACCAGGUUUAUAAACUCCAACCAACACUUCUACUGCAGGCAGGAGGUAAUUUCUGCUAAAGAACACAGUUAAAAUGCAGCCUUUGUGUGGCAAGUAAUUUUUUCACUAGCUGUACAGAUCACGUUCCUGAGUAUUUUCUGGAGCAGCUGGAUCUCUGCUGCUGUGAUGCUUUGAUUAUGAUUAAAGCACUUCUAUGCAGGCCAUCCCUUCUAGGCAGGCUGUUUGAAUCCAUCCCUGGAUUUCACCUCUGUUAGCCAAAGGAUGUCAGUGCUAUCAUAAUUAGUUUACCAGUCAGCCUCUGCAGUAGCAUUUAAGGAAAGAAGGAGAAAGCUAAACUAGGUGUUCAACUAUUCUCCACCACCUGCCCAACCAACUCUAAUGGCUCUGCUCUCUGCAUCCCCAGUUGAUGGACAGCUUCAUGGGAAUUGUAACAGCAGCUUGACUCAUUUUGUCAGUGCCUAGAACUGCUAACAUACAGUAAUCAACCUUCUCAUCACAAGCAAAACGACAGCCCAAGAAGAGGUGGAGGUGGGAUCAGGAAACAAAAGCCAGAAACUAAUUCAAACUGUGGAGCCUUGGAUAUCUGCUCUAAGGCAGAAUGCAACAGUCUGCAGCUGCAUUACUCUGCUCAAGUUAGUUACAAACAUGAAUACAUCCAUAUUGUCUGGAAACAGCUGACAGAAAGAAUAGUCUAGCAAUCAUAACUUGCAUCUCUCUCUUCAUGCCAGACAGAAGCAGAGGAGUCAAGUAAAAUAAAUUUUAUGGCUGCUUUAAACUCCCACACUGCUGGCAUGUAGGCUGUUUGCACAUAACCAUGCAGCAGGCACAAAAGGACUGAAUUCUCUCUCACAGAAUGAUUUUGCUCCCUUUAACCCUUUUUGUAAUGUUCUGAGAGAAUAAUAAACCAACAGAAUAUUA